rnacentral:rRNA from 1 species
UACGGAGGGUGCAAGCGUUAUCCGGAAUUACUGGGUUUAAAGGGUGCGUAGGCGGCAUUAUAAGUCAGUGGUGAAAAGUCUGGGCUUAACCGAGGCCUUGCCAUUGAAACUGUAAAGCUUGAAAUAAGUUGAGGUAGGCGGAAUGUGACAUGUAGCGGUGAAAUGCAUAGAUAUGUCAUAGAACACCAAUUGCGAAGGCAGCUUACUAGACUUUAUUUGACGCUGAGGCACGAAAGCGUGGGUAGCGAACAGG